rnacentral:lncRNA from 1 species
GUCGUUUUAUUGAUAAAAAUCUAUAUUACAUAAAGACAAAUAUGCAAUUUAUAUAAGGGUUUAUAUUCGAGGACAACGAGAAUUUACGACAGCUUGAAGGGGUCAUAAAACUAUUUGCGGCGUAAUUUUUCACUCCUGUUAACUAUGAAAAUCAUAUUUUUUAAUGAUUUUCAACUAAAUUUUAAUAUUAAACCGACUUCUAGCAACCGGUUGGAUAUUGAAUAUCGAAUAUCGAAUAACAAACCGGCAGCUAACUUCACAUACAUAUUGAAAACGUAAUGAAAUGCUUUUAAAAUCAGUAAAAGCCUCGAAAUUGUCGAAUUCCGC